GGCCUGAAAGCUCAACUGGUAGAACAAUGCAACAGUAUUGCAUAGUUCAGGGUUCGAAUCCCUGUUCAGGCCU
rnacentral:tRNA from 1 species